GAUUUGUUCAGCGAUACAAGGCCUGUUUAGUUGCAAAGGGGUACAAUCAAAGACCAGGCAUUGAUUUUGGUGACACAUUCAGUCCUGUAGUGAAACCAGUGACAAUUCGGGUUGUACUCACAUUGGCUGUCACUAAUUCAUGGCCAUUGCUUCAGCUUGACGUCAACAAUGCUUUUUUACACGGUUCUCUACAAGAAGAUGUGUAUAUGAAGCAGCCUCCGGGUUUUG
rnacentral:misc_RNA from 1 species